rnacentral:rRNA from 1 species
GACGAACGCUGGCGGCGUGCCUAAUACAUGCAAGUCGAACGGAAAGGCCCUGCUUUUGUGGGGUGCUCGAGUGGCGAACGGGUGAGUAACACGUGAGUAACCUGCCCUUGACUUUGGGAUAACUUUAGGAAACUGGGGCUAAUACCGGAUAGGAGCACCUGUUGCAUGGUGGGGGUUGAAAAGUUUCGGCGGUUGGGGAUGGACACGCGGCUUAUCAGCUUGUUGGUGGGGUAGUGGUUUACCAAGGCUUUGACGGGUAGCCGGCCUGAGAGGGUGACGGGCCACAUUGGGACUGAGAUACGGCCAAGACUCCUACUGGAGGCAGCAGUGGGAAAUAUUGCACGAUGGGCGGAAGCCUGAUGCAGCAACGCCGCGUGCGGGAUGACGGCCUUCGGGUUGUAAACCGCUUUCGCCUGUGACGAAGCGUGAGUGACGGUAAUUGGUAAGAAAGCACCGGCUAACUACGUG